GACGAACGCUGGCGGCGUGCCUGAUACAUGCAAGUCGAACGCAGUGGGGACGGGUGAGUAACACGUGGGUAACCUCCCAUCAGAGGGGAUAACACUUGGAAACAGGUGCUAAACCGAUACUGAUGGAUGGACCCGCGGUGCAUUAGCUAGUUGGUGAGGUAACGGCUCACCAAGGCCACGAUGCAUAGCCGACCUGAGAGGGGGGUCGGCCAAAAUGGGACGGAGGCACGGCCCAGACUCCUACGGGAGGCAGCAGGAGGGAAUCUUCGGGAAUGGGGGGAACCCUGACCGAGCAAAGCCGCGUGAGUGAAGAAGGUUUUCGGAUCGGAAAGCUCUGUGGUUAAGGGAGCGGUACUUAACCAGAAAGGGACGGCUAACUACGUGCCAGCAGCCGCGGUAAUAC
rnacentral:rRNA from 1 species